UGUACCUUGUCAGCUCGGGGGUUUGAACUCACAACCUUCUGGUUACUAGUCCAACGCUCUAACCACUAGGCUACCCUGCCGCCCCCGUAAAUACCGUAAAUACCAGAGUCAUCUAAAGAGAGUGAGUUUCUUUCUUUCUCAUGUAGAUAAAAAAAAAAGAAUAACUAAGAAACAAUAAAGCAACAAUUUUUUGCGUGUCAUUAAAGGACCAUCAAGUGAUUUAAUAAAAUGUCAUCUAAUAGGACAUUGUAAUGGAACUAUCAGUCUAGUAGGAGAGGAUGAUGAUGGAACCAUGUACCUCCUUCCCCUGGUUGUGAUCCUGGGUGUUGUGACUGCUGUUCUACUGAUAGUCAUCCUCUUCCUUGUCCUCAAGAUCAGAUGAGACAUAAACAACACAGGACCUGAUUCUCAAAGACAACCACAAAAUGAUCAGGUAAAUACUGCAUGAUUAAAUACUGAAAUAUAAGCAAUUCAGAAACGGAGAAAUCUGCAAAUCUACAGAACCAAGACCCAGAUGCAUUGAAUUAUGCCGCUCUGAAUUUCACCUCCAAGAAGAGGAAGCUGGAGAAGAGAAGAGAGAAGGAGCUGGACCCCCAUGUAGUGUAUGCUGCUACAAGAUGAUAAAGUGGAGGAGGAUGGAAGAGGAAAAUUAGUUGUCCAUAUCUUUGAAUAAAAGUUGAAAUCUUG